rnacentral:misc_RNA from 1 species
CGUGCAGGGGGACUUAGUGG